rnacentral:pre_miRNA from 1 species
ACAUCAUUCGGACCGUCGGUAUACCGAGCAACGACACGCGCUCAGUGAAAGAUCUUAUCUUUGUCAU